UACAGAGGGUGCAAGCGUUGUUCGGAAUUAUUGGGCGUAAAGCGCGUGUAGGCGGUAUUGUAAGUCGGGUGUGAAAGCCCUCAGCUUAACUGAGGAAGUGCGCUCGAUACUGCAGUACUUGAGUGCCGGAGAGGAUGGCGGAAUUCCCGGUGUAGAGGUGAAAUUCGUAGAUAUCGGGAGGAACACCAGUGGCGAAGGCGGCCAUCUGGACGGACACUGACGCUGAGACGCGAAAGCGUGGGGAUCAAACAGG
rnacentral:rRNA from 1 species